GGAGGCAGCAGUGGGGAAUUUUGGACAAUGGGGGCAACCCUGAUCCAGCCAUUCCGCGUGAGUGAAGAAGGCCUUCGGGUUGUAAAGCUCUUUCGGCAGGAACGAAACGGUGAGCUCUAACAUAGCUCGCUAAUGACGGUACCUGAAGAAGAAGCACCGGCUAACUACGUGCCAGCAGCCGCGGUAAUACGUAGGGUGCGAGCGUUAAUCGGAAUUACUGGGCGUAAAGCGUGCGCAGGCGGUUGUGUAAGACAGGUGUGAAAUCCCCGGGCUUAACCUGGGAACUGCGCUUGUGACUGCACGGCUAGAGUAUGGCAGAGGGGGGUGGAAUUCCACGUGUAGCAGUGAAAUGCGUAGAGAUGUGGAGGAACACCGAUGGCGAAGGCAGCCCCCUGGGCCAAUACUGACGCUCAUGCACGAAAGCGUGGGGAGCAAACAGGAUUAGAUACCCUGGUAGUCCACGCCCUAAACGAUGUCGACUAGGUGUUCGGUGAGGAGACUCAUUGAGUACCGCAGCUAACGCGUGAAGUCGACCGCCUGGGGAGUACGGUCGCAAGAUUAAAACUCAAAGGAAUUGACGGAAUC
rnacentral:rRNA from 1 species